CCUACGGGUGACAGCAGUGGGGAAUAUUGCGCAAUGGAGGGAACUCUGAUGCAGCGACGCCGCGUGAGUGAAGAAGUAUUUCGGUAUGUAAAGCUCUAUCAGCAGGGAAGAAAAUGACUGUACCUGACUAAGAAGCCCCGGCUAACUACGUGCCAGCCGCCGCGGUAAUACGUAGGGGGCAAGCGUUAUCCGGAUUUACUGGUUGUAACGGGAGCGCAGACGGCUGUGAAAGUCUGGAGUGAAAGGCGGGGGCCCAACCCCCGGACUGCGCUGGAAACUGUAAAGCUGGAGUGCAGGAGAGGUAAGGGGAAUGCCUAGUGUAGCGGUGAAAUGCGUAGAUAUUAGGAGGAACACCGGUGGCGAAGGCGGCUUACUGGACUGUAACUGACGUUGAGGCUCGAAAGCGUGGGGAGCAAACAGGAGUAGAUACCCCAGUAGUC
rnacentral:rRNA from 1 species